UACUGCCCAGAGGAAUGUUUGCUAAUAAAUAAUUUGAAAAUUAUUUCGAACCCCAUAUCCCAAACGAAAAAACCGGUUUUCCGUUGGCGGCUCCAUUUGAGUUUGAACCCGAGUCUUCAUUCUUCGCUCCCUUUCCUUGCCGGUCCGGUUCCGGCGAACAGCCAAGGAAAUGACCCGCCGACUCCUCGGAAACUAAGCGAUAACCCUCAAGGUUAGGAUUAGAUUCGUCAUACGGAGGUCUCGUCUCAGAUUUUCAGUUAAUAAAGUAUUUUUAAUUUUACUUUAUUUAUUUUGGUUUUAUUUUUGGGAUUGUAAAUUUUAUUAAUAAUGAACUGUGGUAUGGGUUGUUUUUAUUUGGGAUUUUGCAUGCAUGAAAUUUUUUGUGAAAACCAAACGAAUUUAAUAACUGGCUUAAUAUGAUUUAAAACACGAAUUUUAUUACAAAAUCAAGGACAUCACAUUUUUCCGCUGCAUAGUGAUGAAACGUAAUUUUUAAAUGUUUACUGAUGAAAUCAAUUGAGUUUUUUUUUUUUCAAACAACACGAUUUUCUAAUAAAUUGAACUUAAAUUAUAGACAACCUAACAAUCUGAUGUUCUAAAUAAAUCUAAGGCAACCACGCUAAGUUUUUUUGGAAAUUGAUCAAAAUAGUGAUUUUUUUAAAACGAAACGGAUUUAUUUGACUAGGAUGCUAACUAAUAGCUGUAAAGUCAUUCUGUAAUUUCGUUGACCUGGGUUUGAAUCCUAUUUUGACCUUUGGUUGGAGGCAUUUUGGUGCAGGAGGAGCAGCUAAAUGUAAGAGGCCUAUAGCAUGGAGUAUAGCUUGGUGCUCCGUCAGGAUAACAUAUGGACAUGCUUCUUACCCAGAAGAAGAAAGAGGCAUAUUUGCUUUCUAUUGCCCAUCCCUCUCUCCUCUAUUUUUUUGGCUAAACAGGUUAUUGUCGAUUAACAGCUUUAUUCCUUUAUUUUGACAGGGUUAAGGUAGAAUUCCAUUUACUAAUGACCGUUAUUCCAGGAAUGAGCUAACUUGCCUACAUGCAAAGAUAAUACAUACAGUCUACUUUCUUUGUUUUUCGAUUUAUUUCUCAAGACUUAUUCAAAAAUGGAUCAAUCUCUCUAAAGUUCUGUAUUAUGCUCUUGAAGUUGACUUCAAUACAGAUUCUUCUAAUAAAAUAUUUUAGGAUAUGGGAACCAAAAGGAGAAAAAAGCAGGGUAUUGGGGCAUUCCGAGAAUCGAACUCGGGACCUCUCGCACCCAAAGCGAGAAUCAUACCACUAGACCAAAUGCCCAAUUUUUGGUAUCUUUCAUGUCUGGUUUUUACUUAUCAGAUCUUUUUCUCAUAGGACUCCUAUGAAUCUUCAACGGGGUCAUUCUUGGAAGACCAAAAUCUUCCAAUUUCUCAUUUUUGAUGUGGUUCAAUGUAUCAUUUGCCUUCUACAAUUGGAUGCUAAGGACUUUUGCAUUAGCAACAGGUCUGAACCCCACCUUCAUCAAAGGAUAAGGGAGUGGGGGUUGAGGGAAGGGAGAGAGCUAAAUCCGCAUAAUGUAGCCUGGCAGUUGGAUCAGGAAGAAGGAAAUGAAAGCAGUCUUAGCAGAUAGAGAAGACAGAGACUCACUCAGAAGGAGGGAAAAUACCUGGCAGUUGAACUAUGAAUUUUGAUAAUUUGUUUGUAUUUUUAUUUCUUUAUUUGUUAAAAUGCUUGACUUAAUAGGUUGAUGGCUAGUGAGCUCUUAAAAAUAUUACAUACAGAUUUGUUGCAUCUAAUUUUGUUACUCGUUUUUGAAAAAUCUUGUUGGACAACAAUUGAUACUUAGAAAGAUGACUUCGGAUGUAUAAAAGAUAAUGAAUAGAAAGCAGCUUGGGCAUUCUGAGAAUUGAAUUGAAACCUCUCACACCCAAAGAAUCAUAUCACUAGACCAAAUAUUCAUUUGUUGUCUAAAUUUAUUGCUAUUACAUUUAGAGGUAGUAGUUUUCAAGAAAUGGUGCAUAUCUUUAUUAAUUGAUGAAAUCUUUGACCCUCUGAUCAGAACUAGAUUGUCUAUUAUCCUUUUUGCUAUUGGAAUUAGCAAUUAUGCGAAGUGUUCUAUUCGAACAAGAAUGGCAUAUUGGUUCUAAAGGAGAAGCUAAAUGUAGGAGGUCCAUAGCAUGGAGUGUAGCAUGGUUCUUGGUCAGAAUGAUGGAUGGACUUCUUACUCGGGAAGAAAAGG